CGCGGGGAAGAGCAGUACGGUCGCUCGCGAGCCUCAUAAGCUCGAGGACGUGGGUUCGAAUCCCACCCCCGCUACCA
rnacentral:tRNA from 1 species